rnacentral:rRNA from 1 species
GAUGAACGCUGACAGAAUGCUUAACACAUGCAAGUCUACUGGAAUUUGGGUUUUUUAACUUAGAUUUGGGUGGCGGACGGGUGAGUAACGCGUAAAGAACUUGCCUCACAGUUAGGGACAACAUUUGGAAACGAAUGCUAAUACCUGAUAUUAUGAAUAUAUGGCAUCAUAUAAUUAUGAAAGCUAUAAGCGCUGUGAGAGAGCUUUGCGUCCCAUUAGCUAGUUGGAGAGGUAACGGCUCACCAAGGCGAUGAUGGGUAGCCGGCCUGAGAGGGUGAACGGCCACAAGGGGACUGAGACACGGCCCUUACUCCUACGGGAGGCAGCAGUGGGGAAUAUUGGACAAUGGACCAAGAGUCUGAUCCGGCAAUUCUGUGUGCACGAUGACGUUUUUCGGAAUGUAAAGUGCUUUCAGUUGGGAAGAAAAAAAUGACGGUACCAACAGAAGAAGUGACGGCUAAAUACGUG